rnacentral:lncRNA from 1 species
CGCGGUGACACGAUGGAGGUGACAAGCAGGGUGUUUCUGCUGAAUCAAUCUCUUCUCUUUGUUUUUUUCUUGCAGGAGGGAAAAGCUGCUGCAAAACUUGCAAGCCGUAGCUUGGAUCCCAUCGUGCUGCUCACAGACAGCUGAUGCGCAGCGCUCGGGCUACUGGGAUCCAGAUCCCUCUCUCAUGUUAUGCUGUGUUGAAGCCUCUAGGACAACAUUUUGGCCUGGAUUCAGGAAGCCUGUUAAGGAUUGCAGCCCGGAGAGGUUGGAGGCCAGGAUGGGCGAGAUGGAGCUGGGCUGGGAACAGCCCUGUGGUGAGGUUGCAGGAGGCUGCAGGACCUUCCCAGCAGGACAACCUCUGUGUCUGUCCGGCCCUCCAUCCAGCCCUGCUGUGUCCCGAGGGCUGCAGGAGACAUGAGCUCACUGCUGAGACGUGCCAAACCAAGCCCGCCGGGCGAGGCUGCUCCCAGCUCCACGCUGACAUCUGCCAGAGAUUUCCAGCACUGCUGUCUCGCUGCUUCUCUGCAGAACGCAGCCCCUGAGCGUCCCAACAUCCUGCUCCUCCUCUGGGCCAGAGGCAUCCACAUCUACAUCCCCAUCGCUAUCCCAAUCCACAUCCCCAUCCCCACCUGCAUCCCCAUCCCCGCCCACAUCAGCAUCCUAACACCUGAACUGGUUGCCAUAGAAACCACAGGUCUGUCUGUCUG